rnacentral:rRNA from 1 species
AUGGACGAUGGAGGCAGGGAGACGAAGACCUUUCUUCUUCCUUGUUGGUAUGAUUUGCUGUUGUUCUUCUUCUCCUUCCUCUGCGCUGAUGCUGGUGGGAGUUCCUGCUUUGCCCAGGCGGAUGGCCCGGCCGUGGUGCUGGACCGGUCGGAUGACUCGAGUUCUCUUCCUUCCGGAAGGGACACUUUUCGUGGUACUCAAAGACAAAGAUGGCGGCGGUUGUUGCAGGUGUGUCGGAUUGAUGUCCAUGCCCUCUCAGCGCUGGUGUCAAAAAAGGAGGAAGCAGCGUGGCGGCAAUUGUACCAUGGUCGAAGAUGA